ACACUCCGCCGCGCCAGCCGCCAUUUUUUCUUUUUCCUUAGACUCCCUUGCGUUAGCGUGCCGUGCCGUAUCUCACGUGCCUGUUGAAUUGAAUGUGAAGUUACGAGUAAUUAAAGUAAUUUAAUAGUCCAAAAUGAAUCCUGCAGAACAGGAAGACCAGGAUCGUGCAGUUUAUAGAUCUAGCAGCGGCGGUAGCCCGGUAGGGGUGAACAAUCGAGCCUGCAGCAGUGACGCAUUUUGUUCGCUCGGCGGCAGGGCGGACAUUUUGUUAAGCCCAAUGGCUUGAUCAGUACCAAGCAUGAAUUCGAGCUUUCCUAAAUUGUAGAACCCUUUCAGACCGGAAAAAUAGCACCGUGCUGAUUUAAAAUGAUGUAUUCAAAUAUAUCAAAAAUCGACUAUUGUCGACAUGUCGACGUUUAUCGUUCUGGUCCGAAAGCUUUAUGUGGUCGUUACUUUUACACAUAAUGGCAUGGAGUACCUAGUCAGCAUGAAGCCUGGGAAAAAGAAAAAUUAUAAAGAAAUCGCGAUGAUUCAAUUUCGUUCAAAGAAGACUUUUGAAUAGUCGCAGUCCUGUUGUGGAAUUGCCCCUUCCUGCUAAAGAUACAGGGUCUAGUGUUGUAGUAACACCAGUAUCAACGUUAAAUGCCAGAUAGCGAAAACUGCCCGACAUCUGAUUCCCAAAGUGGGAAUGACUUCCCGACAAGGAGGAAGAACAAAACACAUAGCCGACACCGAUAGUCUGGAUACUGGAUAGUUGUCAGAGCGUUUGUAAGUCAGUGGAUGUUCUCACAGAGCUGAAGGAGAUAAAACCUUUUGUUACGUUUAUUAUGAGAAAAGUAGAAGCGAUCGAAUUAUCAAUAAUAAAUGUUGCUUCGGAACCGAAACCAACAACAUUGUAGUUGCCUAAAUUACCUCUGACUCAAAUAAGCGAACUCGUGAACAUGGAGGCGAUGCUAGGCGAGGAAAACGUUCGAUCGCAAUUGUUUGAUAUGCUAAGGCAUACACGAAGAAUCAAAGAACGGGACUGUAUCAACCGCUGUCUGGAAAAAAUCUCGGAUUACUUGGGGCAGUAAUUGCUCUUGGACGGGGAAAAAAACAAUUUCAGAUUGUCUUCCCCAAAGCUGAUGAAUGUUAUAAAACUUUGAUAUGCUAAGGCAUACAGGAGGAAGCGAAGGAACGGGACUGCGUCAACCGC